rnacentral:rRNA from 1 species
UACGUAGGGGGCAAGCGUUGUCCGGAAUUAUUGGGCGUAAAGAGCGUGUAGGCGGCCCGGUAAGUCCGCUGUGAAAGUCCAGGGCUCAACCCUGGGAUGCCGGUGGAUACUGUCGGGCUCGAGUCCGGAAGAGGAGUGUGGAAUUCCUGGUGUAGCGGUGAAAUGCGCAGAUAUCAGGAGGAACACCAAUGGCGAAGGCAGCACUCUGGGACGUGACUGACGCUGAGACGCGAAAGCGUGGGGAGCAAACAGG